rnacentral:rRNA from 1 species
UACGUAGGGGGCGAGCGUUGUCCGGAUUUAUUGGGCGUAAAGAGCGUGUAGGCGGCCAGGUAGGUCUGCUGUGAAAACUCGAGGCUCAACCUCGAGACGUCGGCGGAAACCAUCUGGCUGGAGUCCGGGAGAGGAGAGUGGAAUUCCUGGUGUAGCGGUGAAAUGCGCAGAUAUCAGGAAGAACACCCGUGGCGAAAGCGGCUCUCUGGAACGGUACUGACGCUGAGACGCGAAAGCGUGGGGAGCGAACAGG